ensembl:snRNA U6 U6 spliceosomal RNA
GUGCUCACUUCGGCAGCACAUAUACUAAGAUUGGAGCGAUACAGAGAUUAGCAUGGUCCCUGCGCAAGCAUGAUACGCAAAAUUUGUGAAACGUUCCAUAUUAAA